rnacentral:rRNA from 1 species
GUGUCAGCCGCCGCGGUAAUACGUAGGGUGCGAGCGUUAAUCGGAAUUACUGGGCGUAAAGCGUGCGCAGGCGGUGAGUUAAGUCUGCUGUGAAAGCCCCGGGCUCAACCUGGGAAUGGCAGUGGAAACUGGCUCGCUGGAGUAUGGCAGAGGGGGGUGGAAUUCCGCGUGUAGCAGUGAAAUGCGUAGAGAUGCGGAGGAACACCGAUGGCGAAGGCAGCCCCCUGGGCCAAUACUGACGCUCAGGCACGAAAGCGUGGGGAGCAAACAGGAUUAGAAACCCUCGUAGUCC